GACAGAGGGUGCAAACGUUGUUCGGAAUUACUGGGCGUAAAGCGCACGUAGGCGGCUAUUUAAGUCAGGGGUGAAAUCCCAGAGCUCAACUCUGGAACUGCCUUUGAUACUGGGUAUCUGGAGUAUGGAAGAGGUGAGUGGAAUUCCGAGUGUAGAGGUGAAAUUCGUAGAUAUUCGGAGGAACACCAGUGGCGAAGGCGGCUCACUGGUCCAUUACUGACGCUGAGGUGCGAAAGCGUGGGGAGCAAACAGG
rnacentral:rRNA from 1 species